rnacentral:lncRNA from 1 species
GGUGCAUCCACCAUAUUACCAAGUCUUCUCGGCUUACUGCUGCCUGCCCUUGGCAUCUUUCUCUACUUGGAAUUCUGAAUGUGGUGUGACAGCUGCUGUUUCCAUCCCAGCUCAGAGGACACCCUUCAUCCCUGUGAUGACUACAGUUUCUUCCAACUCCUGCGGCUCCGUCCUAAGCCAAAUAAAUUAUCCUUUAACAAACUAUCCAACUGAUUUACAACACACAUUAUGACUGAGGCAUUCAGGAACCCCUUCAUCCAAAAGAAUAAACUUUUAAAUGGAUUUAAAAUGAUUUUUAACUCGUUCCAAUAUGCCUUAUAAACCACUUAACCUGAUUCUGUGACAGUUGCAUGAUUUAAUCCAAUGGGACAAGUUACAGUGUCAAUUCAAUACUAUAGGCUGUAGAGUGAAAGUAAAAUCACCAUACACAGGUGCUUUAAAUUUAAUAACAAGUUGUGAAAUAAAUAGAGGUUGAAAUGUUGAUUGUAUGUGGUAAAUGUAAGAGUAAUACAGUCUCUUGUAUUAUCCUCUCUGUCUUGGGUCCUGCAUAUUUUCAAACGGCCCCUAUCAUUCAAGACAUUUUGAGUUUUCUUGAAAAAGACAUAGAAUAUAACUGAAACAUUUUGACAUCAAUUCCAUUACCAAAUCAUUUGACUGAAUGAGUUGAAAGAUUUUAAAUAUUGAAAACCAAAUUCUAGAACAUAUUAUCAGUAUUCUCAUUUUGGAAGUGUGUAAUUUUCUAAAUGUUUGAUUUUCAGGAUCAGUAAUAAUUUUAAGUUAGUUUUUUAAUAGUGAAAUUAACAUACCACAUGAAGAUUUUUUUUACUUUUGUAUUCUACUCUGAAGUUAUUUUAUGCUUUUAUUAUCGGUUUCAAACCUCAAAAAUCAUAGCUGUUAUCUAGAGUAUCAUCAUAUUGCUGUAUUUAUUCAUACGUGAAAUGUUGAAUUUUGAAAAGUAGAGUGCUUCCAAUUUUAAACUGAGAUGUGGCAGUCUUUACACAGCUAGGAAUAAUGACAGUUAAGUGAAUGUCAGAAUUAUCUAAUAAUAUUCUAGAAUCUUUGUUUUUGUGCUUCAUUUCUUUAUUGAAGGUAUGGGAUCAAGAAAUCACCUGUAGGUUGGAAAAAUACAGUAUUCCUUAUUUUUUUUAAACAGUUUUAAACUCAUUUCCCGCCUCAAUGCAAUACCGUAACUGGCUAAAAAUACCAAAUCAAUAUGUUGCUAAUGGUACUUUGAAGAGUAUGCAAAACUGGAAGGCCAGGAGGAGACAAAUAAUGGGUCUGUCCAAUGGUGUCUCCCAAGGGUUGGUGCUUUAGGUUUUUGUAAGUUGUGAAAAGGAAGAUGCACAUUUCUUCAUUCUCCAUGGUGUGCACGGAAAUGUGUUUGAGUGUGGAUGUGACAGAAAUCGAGUAAUAAAGGAUUAGCUGGCUCAUGAAAUAGUGCAAUGUCUGAUGCUUCAAGAGGUAUAAUCCUAUUUUAUUAGCACAACUUUGCUAGCUAAUUAGAGAUAGAGUUUAUCUUUUUAGAAAGGAUACCUUAUAGGUUCGUAAAAAAAAUAUUUACAGGAAGCAAAAUAGAUCUAUUACUACUUUACCCCCUUUUCUUUAAUUUGUAUAAUUUUUGUACUAUAUAUCUAUGUGUAAAUGUUUAGAGCUUUCAUUAUGAAAAUAUCAAUAAAUAUUUCAUUAGUUUACAUUUAACUCUUUGUUAUAAAAUGAAACUUUUUAAAAACAAGUGAAAUGGAUGAUUUCCCAGUGGAAGUAUGUCAACAGUCUUGAGAUCAUUACCAGAUUUCAUAAAAUAUUUAAUUAUUUGGAAAAGAAACAAAAUCUCUUCAUACUUUAGGAAAAAAAUACUCUGUGAGCUUUCUGUACAAAUGUUUGUGUUUUCAUUGUUACACUUUGGGGUUUUCCUUUUGCAAUGUGACCCAUGUUGGGCAUUUUUAUAUAAUCGACAACAACUAAAUCUUUUGCCAAAUGCAUGCUUGCCUUUUAUUUUCUAAUGUAUGGUAAUAAAGAGCAAAACUGGUUAGAUUUUGCAUGAAAUGGUUCAGAAAGGUAAGAGGAAAACAGACUUUGGAGAUUGUUUAAUUUCAAAUUUUUGACAGAGAUAAGGUAGAUUAAAAUCUCUCAUACACUGAUAACUGAAGCUUUUCAUUUCCUCAUACAAUUGUACAAAUUUGACUGGGACCAUCAGUUUUAAACUGUUGUCAAACUAACUAAUGUAUCAUCUGCUUUAAGACGCAAGAUUCUUAAUUAAACUUUAUAUAGAUAUAGAGACAUCUGUUGUUUCUUUGUAUUUCAGGAAAGGUGAUAGUAGUUUUAUUUGAUACUGAUAAAUAUUGAAUUGAUUUUUUUAGUUAUUUUUUAUCAUUUUUUCAAUGGAGUAGUAUAGGACUGUGCUUUGUCCUUUUUAUGAAUGAAAACAAAUUAUAAAGAAAUAAAUGUCUUACUGUUACCCAAGAAAUAACAACUGUCCUUUCAAUUUACCUAAAGUUGAGAAUUCAUUUUUAGAAGGUUUUCAUUAUAAGUUCAAUAGCAUGGAAUAAAUGUUACUUGUUAAGCAAGAGUUCACUGUUUGAAGGUUCUAUAAAAAGUAUACACACAUACGUUAAGACACACACACUCGAGCUUGUAUGUGCACGUACAACACAUUGUUAUUACAUUAAAAUAGUACCACCUAAUAGGUAAUUUCGGUUUAUGGAGACGUCAGUUUAUAUCACUCAAUCUAAUGCUAAACACUGAAGCAAGCUUCUAGAUGCUGAAAAAACAGAGUAGUUUAACCCUAAAUGAGCUGACACUCUAAAAGAAGAAUUUGCAUAAAAGCAUGACUCUACAGACAGGAGGCUGGUACAGGUAAAGCCUUCUCUGAGUCCUGAGCCAGACUGAG